rnacentral:rRNA from 1 species
AAUAUUGCGCUAUGGGGGAAACCCUGACACAGCGACGCCGCGUGAACGGUGGAGGCCUUCGGGUCGUAAAGUUCUGUCCUCAGGCAAGAAUAAAUUACGGUACCUGAGGAGGAAGCCACGUCUCACUACGUGCAAGCAGCGGCGGUAAUACGUAGGGGGCAAGCGUUGUCCGGUAUUAUUGGGCGUAAAGGGUGCGUAGGCGGCCUUUUAAGUCCGAUGUGAAAAACCACAGCUUAACUGUGGGAUUGCAUUUGAAACUGAAGGGCUUGAGUGUCGGAGAGGGUAGUGGAAUUUCCGGAGUAGCGGUGAAAUGCGUAGAUAUCGGGAGGAACACCAGUGGCGAAGGCGACUACCUGGACGACGACUGACGCUGAGGCACGAAAGCUAGGGGAGCAAAC